rnacentral:lncRNA from 1 species
AGAGAGGGCAGGGCAUGAGAGGGAGAGGGAGAGGGAGAGGGAGAGAGAAGGGGCGCGGCAUGAGGGAGAUCACGCCUGGUACUGGAGACCUAGUCAAUCACCCAGAGGUAGUGACACCUUGAGUCUUAGAGAAGCCACUCCUGCCAUUUAUGACACUAGCACAGUUCCUGGAUGAAUUCUAAGCAUCUCUCCUCAUCUCCACAGGUAAGUGUGCUCGCACCUCUCAUCAAACAAACGUUGCUUUCAAUAGUCAGAGACCAUUCCAGAAAACCCAAACUGGGUAAAGUACAGUGAACAAGUGACCAAAGGCUCGGCAGCCCUAACUGAUACAUCUAAAGCGCAAUUCCUUCACGUAAGGCUCAUGGAACAUCAUGAAAGACGGGCAUGGGGUGGAAAGAUUGGUAGAGCCAGAGCACCAAGGGAGCUGCUGUGAGAUUGUCUUCUAAGAACUACAGAGGCUACAGCCAUGAAAACUCAGCAAUACGACUGCCUCCCAAGACCUAAACAAGGCUAGGAGAUGGCUCCGCAGUGCUGUCUGGGACUGAGGGAAAAUGACAACAAACAAUUCGACCUUGCACUUACUUCAAGAUCCUCUACCCAGCACUGCCUUAAGAGCUCCAUUUCGGCACUCAGAUUAAAGUGCUGCAGCUCAAAACACAGCCUUGCCAACUUGGCUCCAGGGAAGGAGCAGCCAUUGGAACAAUGCAGGCAAUUUAAUCGUGUUGCAGAGAGGAGUAAGCCCAAGUCUGGAGGCUUUACUGGAACGGAAUGCAAUUCCCUCGUCCCAGUAGGAAGAAUGAAAGUGGGGCUGAGGUGGACAAAAGACAACAUCCAAAAUGACAUAAAAAUUAACCACCCAACUCAAUGAAUUACCCACGAGAUAAUGGGAUAAAUGUUUGUGAGUCAGACCAAAGAGCAAAAACAGAACAGAAAGAAAGAAUUCUCAACUGUAGGCUGAAACCUUUCUACUUCGUUCUGUGAGGCAAAAUCUCAGUCUCUCUCUUUCCACUUAAGUUCAGGUUUUAAAACUCGGUUGUUCUCUAUGGAAUUGAAGCCUGUGUAGACCAUUGUGUGUAGCUGUAUUUCAAAUACUGUUCUCUCUGUUAUCACUCAAACUCCUAGUUAUUCAGUUUGACCUGAAGUUAAAGAACAGAAUUGUUUCAUGCUUUAAAAUUACUUCCCACUAUUUUAUAGAGAUAAAAACAAGUUAUGAAAAAAAAACCCUUAGGUAUAAGCCAAGUUAGAGUUCAUAAUUAAGAUUACCAGAAUAAAAACCAUAGUCAUAUGUCUGUUCCCCUAUUUCUCAUCCUAAAUAUGUUUUUUUUGGUGGGGGGCAGUUUAGUUAAACAUAAAAUGUUUAUUGUCCAUUGCUGUAGUAAAAAUUACUUGGGGGUUAACCCCAUUCUUGAUCAUAUUGUUCCUAAGUAAAUGACACAACCCUUUAUAUUUAUAAUAAUCUUUAAAGCACUAGAGCUGGGAAGAUGUCAACUCUCCAUGGUAUUUUGUCUAAUUCACUAAAUCUGAGAUAUCACUUGCUAUGUUCCCCUUGGUCCUCUCCAACUCGGACUGGCCAGCCCUCGUGGCCGUGUUCUCACUAGCCACCUAUCCAAUGUCAUCUUCUCCCCUCUCCUCUCUCUUCUUCUCCUCAUGGUCUCUGCCUCAGACUCCAAUUCUGGGAACCAAAGCUCUGCCUACCUCUCUUCUGCCCAGCCAUAGGUUGUAGGCUUCUUUUUUUAGCCAAUGGUUUUAAAUUAAGGAGCAAGGUUGCAUAGCAUCACUUGGUAUAUAUGCAGAUGUGCUUGUCAAGGACAGCAACAUCUUGAGAAGCCAGUAUUUAGCAUUAGAAUAUAAGCAUCAUCAGACUCACCCUCUACAGUCCAUUGUACCUAUGAUAAUACAAUAAACAAUGAUUAAGCAGCCUGUAUUUGAUUGGUUAUGAUGUGGUACCAUGGGAGUGAUGGCUCAAUGGUUAAGAGAACUUGCUACUUUUCCAGUGGACCCGAGUUCAUGUUUCUUCACCUGUGUCAGGCUGAUUAUAACUACCUGAAAUGCCCAGGGGAAAUGAUGUCCUCUUCUGGCAUCUGCACACACGAGACACACAACACAUGGGACACACAUGCACGUAACUAAAAAAUCUGUUAUAAAGAAAAACUAAUGAAAAAAGAAAAAGAAAAAGUAAUGGCCGA